rnacentral:rRNA from 1 species
GUUAACGGUAGGGUUCACUCCAACCCCUGUGACAUACCUAUACGUUGCCUCGGCGGAUCAGCCCGCGCCCCGUAAAACGGGACGGCCCGCCCGAGGACCCCUAAACUCUGUUUUUAGUGGAACUUCUGAGUAAAACAAACAAAUAAAUCAAAACUUUCAACAACGGAUCUCUUGGUUCUGGCAUCGAUGAAGAACGCAGCAAAAUGCGAUAAGUAAUGUGAAUUGCAGAAUUCAGUGAAUCAUCGAAUCUUUGAACGCACAUUGCGCCCGCCAGUAUUCUGGCGGGCAUGCCUGUUCGAGCGUCAUUUCAACCCUCAAGCUCAGCUUGGUGUUGGGACUCGCGGUAACCCGCGUUCCCCAAAUCGAUUGGCGGUCACGUCGAGCUUCCAUAGCGUAGUAAUCAUACACCUCGUUACUGGUAAUCGUCGCGGCCACGCCGUUAAACCCCAACUUCUGAAUGUUGACCUCGGAUCAGGUAGGAAUACCCGCUGAACUUAAGCAUAUCAAAAGGCGGGAGGAA